rnacentral:rRNA from 1 species
UCGGGAAUUUUGCUCAAUGGGGGAAACCCUGAAGCAGCAACGCCGCGUGAGGGAUGAAGGCCUUCGGGUCGUAAACCUCUUUUGUCCGAGGACGAUGAUGACGGUACUCGGUGUAUAAGCCACGGCUAACUACGUGCCAGCAGCCGCGGUAAUACGUAGGUGGCAAGCGUUGUCCGGAUUUACUGGGCGUAAAGAGCGCGCAGGCGGUCGUAUAAGUCGAAUGUGAAGGCCCCCGGCUCAACUGGGGAGGGUCAUUCGAUACUGUUCGACUUGAAGGCAGGAGAGGGAAGUGGAAUUCCGGGUGUAGUGGUGAAAUGCGUAGAUAUCCGGAGGAACACCAGUGGCGAAGGCGACUUUCUGGCCUGUUCUUGACGCUGAGGCGCGAAAGCUAGGGGAGCAAACGGGAUUAGAUACCCCGGUAGUCCUAGCCGUAAACGAUGGACACUAGGUGUUGGUGGUAUCAACCCCGCCAGUGCCGUAGCUAACGCAUUAAGUGUCCCGCCUGGGGAGUACGGCCGCAAGG